rnacentral:rRNA from 1 species
GUUGUAUGGUUAAGUGAUUAAGCGUAGACGGUGGAUGCCUUGGCAGUCAGAGGCGAUGAAGGACGUACUAA